rnacentral:rRNA from 1 species
GCCAAUCAAACACCGUGAUAGCUGGUUCUCCCCGAAAUGCAUUUAGGUGCAGCGUUGCGUGGUUCUUGUUGGAGGUAGAGCACUGGAUGGUCUAGGGGGCUUAUCGGCUUACCGAAAUCAGCCAAACUCCGAAUGCCGGUAAGUGAGAGCGUGGCAGUGAGACUGCGGGGGAUAAGCUUCGUAGUCGAGAGGGAAACAGCCCAGAACACCGACUAA